UUAACUCAAAUUUGUAUGGAGUUUGAACAAGUCCUACGUUUGCCGCUAGGGGCGCUGUUCCAACUCCAUACAAAUUUCAGUUA
rfam:Bombyx mori DNA, contig: Bm_scaf23_contig15824, strain: p50T/Dazao, build 2, whole genome shotgun sequence.